rnacentral:lncRNA from 1 species
AGUAGCUCUACUUACUCAUCACAGCAGCAGUUUGGUUUAAGCUGAAGAAAAGGAGUUUGCUUACAUAACUUUUUUCUAGGCUUUUUAAAAUUUACAUGAAUCAACUGAAGGAAAAUUGUGCAAUGAUUUAUUAAAAAUUAUACAUUUGGCAGUCUAGAAGGGGGCAGUGUUGCCAAAUCUUGAGAUUUUUAUUUAUUUAUUAUGAGUGAUGUGAGAAACUCCAGCCCUCUGACUGGUUGCCUGCCCCACUUGCCCAUCUCCUGGGCCAGAAUAACCAAUCAGAGCUUCUGCUGGCAGAGCACUCUUCUCCCCAUAGCAACCCAAAGCCAUUCUUGAGAGAGGUGGGGCUGUAAUGGAGAGUUAAAGAGCCCAGCAACUCAGGCUGAGUCUGCUCCCUCCUGUGAGCAGCAAGGACAGGGUAACUCCUCCCCUCUCCCUCACUACAGCUCUUGGCCUGCGAGGGGUGAAGAAUUGUUGGAGCUGCACCCCCAGCCUGGAACGGGGAGAGGAGAAUGAAGAAUCCUAGGAGGAGCCAAACCGUUUCUAGUCUAUUGAUGCCACUGGAGCCUGCACUCGCAGAUUUGAGUGACCGUGAAGCAGUUGCCCAGCCCUUCUCCCUGCUGCAGCGGCCGGGAGCUACUGCCAGGGACCCAGAGACACCAACGAGAGCCUGCAUCAAAGGAACUUCGAAACUUCCAUUUCCAGGUGGCUGAGAUAUUGUAUCUCAGAAGCAUAAAGUCAAAAAACGUAACUCUGUCUUGCAAUAUUAGAGCUCACUCCCUCAGAGUUGUGGCAGCUCCAUGGACAGAAAUAUCACAUUCCUCAUACAAGGACAUUUGUAAAGUAACCAGCUGGACAUUUAUUCAUACCACCUUCAGAUUCUACAAACUGUACAUCCUAUCAGCAUCUGAUGAAGCCUUCUGUAGGUGGGUGCUCCUCCCUGUAAUAUCCGAGUAGCUAUUGGGAAAGGGUUAUAUUAUUUUGCAUCUGUACAUAACUGUGUAUACAGUAUGCUCCUGUUUAUCUGAACAGCCUGGGGGACAUCUGAAACUUUCAGAUAAUCGCAGUAGCGUAGCUAGAGGGGAAGCGGGGGAGCAGCUGCUCCCCCACCAAGCA